UGUUGUUGUAUAUUGCAUAACAAUUGCAUAUUGUGAUGUGAAACACUGAGUUGAAAGAACAUACAAAAAUACAUGUUAAAAAAAGUCUAAUGAAAGGGAGAUGUCAUGUCUGUUCAUGUACAGUAUUUACCUUGAGUGCCUGAGGCUGGCGCUGUUACUAACUACUACAUGUGGUCAUCUGUACUUGCACUUGACCGUGACCUCUGAUAAACUUGGUUCUUCUACCCGCAUCCCUAUCUCAGUGUGCUAGUAUAUUACACUAGCCAAACCUAGCUUAGUUAAGCGCUAGCUAGCUCUAGGCUAGUUGGUUUCAGUCAAUGUGAGCUUACAUCUUUAGUGGUUAAUAAUGUAACGGUUGUAGCAUUGUUUCUCAUAGGCCUCCUGUCAUAUAUAGCUUUUUCAAAAUUGACACUAAUAGUACAGUGAGUUGUAAAUAAUGUGAUUGUGUAUGUAUGGUGUAUGGUGACUCAAGGUUUGGAUGAAUGGACCUACUAGACCCUCAAGACAAAUCCCUUGGCGGGUACCAGGAGUGGUGGGAGGACAACCCAAAGGUCUUUCUCUUUGCACAUAACAGCAGCGUCCAGGCUUCCAGAGUACUCACCCUAUUGCCUGCUGUAUGCACGGGAGCCACAGCUUUUUACUGAGUUAAACAAUGCAAUUGUAUAUACAAUAGUAUUAAACAUAUGUGAUUGACUUAGUGUUGUUUGUGUAUUGCUAUUUUUGUAUUUGUAUAAAACUUCCACCACCUCAGGUGGCGUUUCAGGCCAAAUGACUUGGCCUGGAAGAAGGACGAAAGUAAGGUGAGACCUGGGAAUCGUCGCUGCUCUUUUACUUCUACCUGGGGUCACCAUCUAUUAAGGUGAACAUAAUAUAUACUGUCAGCAGUACCAACACUGGCCCAGGGGUUUCUCCAAAUAGUAAAUCUCAAGGCUAACCACUGGGUCACUUUAAGCAACCUCCGCUUCCAGGUAGGUACUGUUGAGAUGUAUGACUCCAGUGGUCAUGACGCCAUCCUGGAGUUUCUCUCACAACUCACAUCUCUCUUUUCCAGGGACCAUCCCGUAUCUCCCGCAUCAACCCCACUGACAUAACAAAUGACACGGGUAUUCUUUAUUUUCUGUUUGUCAUUAACAUUAUUGCAUGUCUAAUCAAACAUUUAAAGGAAAUCAUUCAAUAACAGUAUUUUUACAUGCCUGUGUGUUUGCGUGUGUAGAAACGUUAAAGACAUGGAUUUCAUGUUGUCACGGUAACAAGGUACCCAAAAGUAGUUUGAAGUAAUGUUUUCAUUUUAUUAGCUGAAUAAAAAACAGGAGCUGGUGCACACCCAGAAAAAAUGAUUUUGUGUGGAGGUGCUGACUAACGGGGAAUAAACUAUACAAAUAGAAUGGCACACUCCAUAUAUAAACUCCCAGUCAUUUAUUGGGUAAAUCACCAAUGUUUCAGCAUCACUGUGCUUUCUUCAGGGUAAUGUCAUGAAUACUUGAACCAGGUUAUGUAGACAAACAGUGCAAUUAGUGCAACCAAUGACAAUAGUGAUGGGUGUGUCAUAAUUAUUAAGUUAAUUCAAAUUAAUUAGUGAAACUGUUAAAAAACAAUAGUUUAUGGCGUAUUAAAUAUAUCAGGCUAUUGUUAUCAUAUGCAAACAUAAUUAAAUAUUGUACAUAAUAUUAGCAUCAACAUACAUUAUUGUUUAAUUAAAUGCAUAAUAAGCAUCAUCAACAGAGGGAACAUAUUAGGUGUACACUAAUAAGCUGUAGAAAGAAUAUAUCAAUUUAUAAGACAAGUUCAAAAAAAUAGAGAAUUUUUCAUAAGGGCCUGAGAUCAAUGUGAAUAUUUCAGACCACUAGGGGUCAAUGUUUUUAGACAGGAUAUCCAGUAAGCCUCUGUCGUGUCUUUACUAUCAUUAACUGAAGACUUAUAGUUUUUAUCAAAGAUUCUCUGUAAUUAGUAUUACGCGAUUAGACUGAUUAAUCAUGUAACCGUAGUUACUAGGAAGUCGGGGCACCAAGGAAAAAUAUUCAGAUUACAAAGUUAUCAUUUCCUAAAAUAACUUGUCAGAUAUUUUAUCUGACCAAUUAGUCUUCGAAUUAAUGAAUUAUUUACCUCACGUUAGUCUCAUUCCAAACGUCGUAAUAGUUGGUUAUCUGCAUGAACCCAGUCUUCACUAUGAGUCAUCCAUACAUCAAUUGUCUUAAAUCAUUUAUUUAUUACUAACUAAGUAAUUCACAGAAAUGCAUAAACAAACAAACAAGGUAAAUGUGGUUACAAGAAAUGAUAGGAGAAUGUGCCCUAGUGGGCUAAACUGGCAUGGCGGCUUGUUAGACAAAAGGGGAAGUGGGGGUCAACUAAGAAGUCACUACAGAGUGAUAAUUAUAACAAUUGAAAUGCUAAUCCUUUACACAUGAACGCUCACUCAUUCGGGAACAAUUGCAAUCAAUAUAUAUAUUUACGCUCAGUGUGUCGUCUUGAUCGCUGGUGAAAAGUUUGUUUCCUUUGUAGAAUUGUCCGUCUCUCUCCCUCUCUUGGUUAGAGUGGAUUGUUCAGAGUGACAUUACUUCGUUUCGUUAUAGAAUGGAUAUUUCGGCGGAUGUCAUUCUUCGCGUUCAAUGAUACCGAAUUGCUAGCUGCAGACUAGUAAUUAAUAUCAAAGACUUGUUCUUAUUCUGUCGGUAUCGAUAGUCUAAGAGUUUAACCACGUAGUAUGGUUAAAAGAUUCAGCAAUGGUCUACAACCUUUGUCUCCUCCUAAUGGAGAUAAACAUGGUCUGGUGAUAAUUUCUCAAAGUUGGGUUUUAUUCGGAAUGGCAGAAAAGGGCUGUCCCAGGACGCCUGACCCAAACUGGGCUCAGGGGCGGUCCUCUGAUUUAGUUAACUCCAAUCCCCUUUUUGAGUUUUCCUUCAUUAAACAGUACAAAAUCAUAUUACACAAUUUUAUAAACAGUAUCAUACAUUCAUCUUAUACAACAAUUCUUAUAUAAACAGCGUUAUGGUAAUGUGGCCACACCGUCUACCAUGAGCUUCCCCAAGUUGUGACAAACGGACCAGUUCGUAGCUGGAUUCUUCACCAAUCUUUUAUACUUUCUCCGGAACAUGAAAUUUGUUCGUACCUCAAGUUCUGUGAGGUGGAAGAAAUUCCUUUCUGCUCAAUGAAAAUUUCCUCUGCCUCUUAUAGUAUGUGGCCAUGUGGCAGGGUCUUCUCAGGAAUUUACGACGUCUCUCUGACCACAGCAGCCUAGUUGAAGGAGGAACGGGGGAGGCAGGGAAAGGGGGAUGGGGCCUGCUAUACCCAAAGAGGCCAACGUCAUGACACCUCCCUUUGUAGUAGUAGGAUCUCAAUGUUUCCUCCUCUCCUUGGUAGAGCAACAUGCUCAAUGCCUAUGUAUUUGAGGGAGGAGAUUGGAUGGCUAUCUUCAACAAAGUGAGCUGCUUACACCUGAUUGAGCUGCGGUGUUCAGCUAUGCUGUGUUUUAAUUGUACUUUUGUUUGUCCUACAUAGACUUUUCCACAUGAACAGGUGAUGAGAGAGAUUACUCCCCUUGGUCUUGCAUGAGAUAAUACCCCUAGGAUGUUUUUAUAGUGCUAUUGCACUGUGCGCAUGAGCCUCAUUUGUAGUUCCCAUUUGGAAUUUGUGUCAAGAGUGUCUGAGUGGGCUCAGGGAACAUGUCAGAUCUCACCAAGCUAUCUCCAUUAUUGCAACCACAAAACUUGUUUAAAACUUCUUAGGGCUGCAAUCCCGUUAACGGGAUCGAUAUAACAACAGCCAGUGAAAGUGCAGGGCGCCUAAUUCAAAACAACAGAAAUCUCAUAAUUAAAAUUCCUCAAACAUGCAUGUAUCUUAUACCGUUGUAAAGGUAAUCGUGUUGUUAAUCCCACCACAGUGUCCGAUUUCAAAUAGGAUUUACAGCGAAAGCACCACAAACGAUUAUGUUAGGUCACCACCAACUCACAGAAAAAUUCUGCCAUUUUUCCAGCCAAAGAGAGGAGUCACAAAAAGCACAAAUAGAGAUUAAAUUAAUCACUAACCUUUGAUGAUCUUCAUCAGAUGACACUCAUAGUACAUCAUGUUACACAAUACAUGUAUGUUUUGUUUGAUAAAGUUCAUAUUUAUAUAAAAAAAUCUCAGUAUACUUUGGCGCGUUACGUUCACUAGUUCCUCUGUGGAGGACAGAGGAGCCUCUUAAAGAAGAAGUUACAGGUCUGUGAGAGACAGAAAUCUUGCUUGUUUGUAGGUAACCAAAUACUUAUUUUCCACCAUAAUUUGCCAAUAAAUUCAUUAAAAAUCCUACAAUGUGAUUUUCUGGAUAUUCUUUUCUCAUUUUCUCUGUCAUAGUUGAAGUGUACCUAUGAUGAAAAUUACAGGCCACUCUCGUCUUUUUAAGUGGGAGAACUUGCACAAUUGGUGGCUGACUAAAUACUUUUUUUGCCCCACUGUAUAUUGGGCCUAUAGCCACUGCACAAACCUCAUUGUUAUAUAACUGUUUUCAAUUGGUUAAUGUUGCAUAGGAUUAAGAUUUUUAAAGUCAUUUUUCAAAAUCUGAGCGGUAGAUCUCUGAUUUAAUUUUGACUCAGAAAAGGUUGGUGACCUGCUCUACAACAUCUGUAGAGUAUGACCUUUCCACACACAGGAAGCGGCGCAGGUCCUAAUCCAGGCGCUUUGCCAUCUCCCGUCUAGACUACUGCAACUCUCUGAUGGCUGGGCUACCCGCUUGUGCCAUCAAACCUCUGCAACUUAUCCAGAAUGCCACAGCCCGCCUGGUGUUCAAACUAUCUGCAGUGCCUUCAGAAAGUAUUCAUACCCCUUGACUUAUUCCACAUUUAGUUGUGUUACAGCUUGAAUUCAAAAUGGAUUAAAUAGAUUUAUUUUCUCACUGAUCUACACACAAUACCCCAUAGGUUGGUAAAAGAGGAAAGGUUGACUGUAAUUGUUAGGUUGGUAAUGGGGGAAAGGUUGACCGUUAUUGUUAGGUUGGUAAUGGGGGAAAGGUUGACUGUAAUUGUUAGGUUGGUAAUAGGGGAAAGGUUGACUGUAAUUGUUAGGUUGGUAAUAGGGGAAAGGUUGACUGUAAUUGUUAGGUUGACUGUAAUUGUUAGGUUGGUAAUAGGGGAAAGGUUGACUGUAUUUGUUAGGUUGGUAAUAGGGGAAAGGUUGACUGUAAUUGUUAGGUUGGUCAUAGGGGAAAGGUUGACUGUAAUUGUUAGAUUGGUUGGUUGAGAGACAUAGUUGCAUAAAGAGAGAUGAUAAGUGGUGUGAAAAGUAUUCUGAGAAAUGUUCAGUGGUCCCCCUUACGGAUCAUGUUAUACUGAUACGGUUAAAUUACUGUCUAAAGGGUCUGGGACCUAGAGUGUCAGACAAAGAUUGGCACAUUUUCUAUGGUUUUAAAACAGAUCCCAAUGAAAAAUAGAAUCGUUAAAUCAGAGCCUUCAUCAAGAAUUAAAGGAAUACCACCCCAGUAAUACAUUUUGAAGCAAAACCAAUGCCUUGUUCAAUAGGACCAAUGCAUGUUGAACAUGGUUUUCUGUAUUCACCCUCUCAACCAUUUAACUUGCUAGGAAGUUCCCUCCAAAGUGUAUCUCUCCCCUUCUGAAUUGGCCAAUGGAUUUUAUAAUUUCGGCGCAUGACAUGUUAAUCUCAAAAUAGACAUUUAAUGAGUGUGAAGCAGAAAGUGAACAUCCAAUGGAAAUUGGUCAUAUAUAUUUAGAGUAACAUCAUUAGGGUAGACUAAAAUGCAAACAAUGCUUUCAAAUAAGGUGAAAGUAAAAGUGGACAAUGGCAUCCCGGUGAACUGUCACGAGUCUGACCGAGGGUGGCUCUCCUUCCCGGUCGUUGCCACUGAUUGUCUUUCCUCCCCCUCCUGGUAUGUUUAUUGUUAGCACCUGUUAGUGAGUCAUUAGUUGGGCUUUAUUAGACAGCCGGCCCGCCUGUUCCUUUGUGCAGGAUUAAUCAUUGUGACCUUCGUGUAGGUAGUAGAGGAACGUGUUUGUUCCUGGUGGUGUAUUUUCUGCUGUACUGUUUUCGUCCCCCGUGUUUGGGGCAUUUGAUUUUGAGCACCCAGUGUUGCGUUAGUGCAUUAAAAGAGCACAGUAUUGCACUCUCUGUUUCCUGCAUCUGACUCCACACCCACGACACCCGGAGCAUUACAGAAUCCCGCACCACAUUGAAUGGAAUCAGCAGGAGCGAUGGAGGAACGGGUUCUCCACCGCACCACCUUCCUCCAUCGGAUUGGAUCAGCGAUGGAUCAAAUGAUGGAGAGAAUGGACCGAUGGGAGAGGAGUGGUCUCCUCUCUCCACCUUCGGCACCCCCGGCUCCGGACUUCCCAUCUCCCGACUCCAGCACUCUCCGUCUGACACUCCCGAGGGCUUAUGAUGGAGCGGCGGCAGGGUGCCAGGGUUUUUUACUCCAACUGGAGCCAUACCUGGCCACCGUCAGACCCACUCCCCCGGGAGCGGAGAGGGUGGGUGUCCUCAUCUCCUGCCUCAGGGGUCGUGCUCUGGAGUGGGCGAACGCAGUCUGGAAUGGCCCGGACUCAGCGAAGGAGUGGCUCCCCUAGAGGAACGUGUUUGUUCCUGGUCGUGUAUUUUUUGCUGUACUGUUUUCGUCCCCCAUGUUUGGGGCAUUUGAUUUUGAGCACCCAGUGUUGCGUUAGUGUAUUCAGUUGAUGUCAAAUUGAAUAAGUGUUGACAGUAU
ensembl:lncRNA